GCCGCGGUGGGGUAGCCUGGUUAUCCUACUGGACUGUGGAUCCGGCGACGCGGAUUCAAAUUCCGCCCGCGGCC
rnacentral:tRNA from 1 species